UGGGUUGUGGCUCAGUGGUAGAGUGCUCGCCUAGCAUGAGAGAGGCCCUGGGUUCGAUCCUCAGCACCAUAU
rfam:Ictidomys tridecemlineatus contig024743, whole genome shotgun sequence.